rnacentral:rRNA from 1 species
AGUGAACGCUGGCGGUAGGCCUAACACGUGCAAGUCGAACGGCAGCACAGUAAGAGCUUGCUCUUACGGGUGGCGAGUGGCGGACGGGUGAGGAAUACAUCGGAAUCUACUUUUUCGUGGGGGAUAACGUAGGGAAACUUACGCUAAUACCGCAUACGACCUACGGGUGAAAACAGGGGAUCUUCGGACCUUGCGCGAUUGAAUGAGCCGAUGUCGGAUUAGCUAGUUGGCGGGGUAAAGGCCCACCAAGGCGACGAUCCGUAGCUGGUCUGAGAGGAUGAUCAGCCACACUGGAACUGAGACACGGUCCAGACUCCUACGGGAGGCAGCAGUGGGGAAUAUUGGACAAUGGGCGCAAGCCUGAUCCAGCCAUACCGCGUGGGUGAAGAAGGCCUUCGGGUUGUAAAGCCCUUUUGUUGGGAAAGAAAAGCAGCAGGUUAAUACCCCGCUGUUCUGACGGUACCCAAAGAAUAAGCACCGGCUAACUUCGUG